rnacentral:rRNA from 1 species
GACGAACGCUGGCGGCGUGCUUAACACAUGCAAGUCGAACGGAAAGGCCCUGCUUUUGUGCGGUGCUCGAGUGGCGAACGGGUGAGUAACACGUGAGUAACCUGCCCUUGACUUUGGGAUAACUUCAGGAAACUGGGGCUAAUACCGGAUAGGAGCUCCUGCUGCAUGGUGGGGGUUGGAAAGUUUCGGCGGUUGGGGGUGGACUCGCGGCUUUCGGCUUGUUGGUGGGGUAGUGGCUUACCAAGGCUUUGCCGGGUAGCCGGCCUGAGAGGGUGACCGGGCACAUUGGGACUGAGAUACGGCCCAGACUCCUACGGGAGGCAGCAGUGGGGAAUAUUGCAGAAUGGGCGGAAGCCUGAUGUAGCAACGCCGCGUGCGGGAUGACGGCCUUCGGGUUGUAAACCGCUUUCGCCUGUGACGAAGCGUGAGUGACGGUAAUGGGUAAAGAAGCACCGGCUAACUACGUG